rnacentral:rRNA from 1 species
GGUUAAGCGACUAAGCGUACACGGUGGAUGCCCUGGCAGUCAGAGGCGAUGAAGGACGUGCUAAUCUGCGAAAAGCGUCGGUAAGGUGAUAUGAACCGUUAUAACCGGCGAUGUCCGAAUGGGGAAACCCAGUGUGAUUCGUCACACUAUCGUUAACUGAAUACAUAGGUUAACGAGGCGAACCGGGGGAACUGAAACAUCUAAGUACCCCGAGGAAAAGAAAUCAACCGAGAUUCCCCCAGUAGCGGCGAGCGAACGGGGAGCAGCCCAGAGUCUGAAUCAGCUUGUGUGUUAGUGGAACGGUCUGGAAAGUCCGACGGUACAGGGUGAUAGUCCCGUACACCAAAAUGCACAGGCUGUGAACUCGAAGAGUAGGGCGGGACACGUGGUAUCCUGUCUGAAUAUGGGGGGACCAUCCUCCAAGGCUAAAUACUCCUGACUGACCGAUAGUGAACCAGUACCGUGAGGGAAAGGCGAAAAGAACCCCGGCGAGGGGAGUGAAAAAGAACCUGAAACCGUGUACGUACAAGCAGUGGGAGCACCUUCGGGUGUGACUGCGUACCUUUUGUAUAAUGGGUCAGCGACUUAUAUUCUGUAGCAAGGUUAACCGUAUAGGGGAGCCGCAGGGAAACCGAGUCUUAACUGGGCGUUAAGUUGCAGGGUAUAGACCCGAAACCCGGUGAUCUAGCCAUGGGCAGGUUGAAGGUUGGGUAACACUAACUGGAGGACCGAACCGACUAAUGUUGAAAAAUUAGCGGAUGACUUGUGGCUGGGGGUGAAAGGCCAAUCAAACCGGGAGAUAGCUGGUUCUCCCCGAAAGCUAUUUAGGUAGCGCCUCGUGAACUCAUCUUCGGGGGUAGAGCACUGUUUCGGCUAGGGGGUCAUCCCGACUUACCAACCCGAUGCAAACUACGAAUACCGAAGAAUGUUAUCACGGGAGACACACGGCGGGUGCUAACGUCCGUCGUGAAGAGGGAAACAACCCAGACCGCCAGCUAAGGUCCCAAAGUCAUGGUUAAGUGGGAAACGAUGUGGGAAGGCACAGACAGCCAGGAUGUUGGCUUAGAAGCAGCCAUCAUUUAAAGAAAGCGUAAUAGCUCACUGGUCGAGUCGGCCUGCGCGGAAGAUGUAACGGGGCUAAACCAUGCACCGAAGCUGCGGCAGCGACACUAUGUGUUGUUGGGUAGGGGAGCGUUCUGUAAGCCUGCGAAGGUGACCUGUGAGGGUUGCUGGAGGUAUCAGAAGUGCGAAUGCUGACAUAAGUAACGAUAAAGCGGGUGAAAAGCCCGCUCGCCGGAAGACCAAGGGUUCCUGUCCAACGUUAAUCGGGGCAGGGUGAGUCGACCCCUAAGGCGAGGCCGAAAGGCGUAGUCGAUGGGAAACAGGUUAAUAUUCCUGUACUUGGUGUUACUGCGAAGGGGGGACGGAGAAGGCUAUGUUAGCCGGGCGACGGUUGUCCCGGUUUAAGCAUGUAGGCUGAUUGUCCAGGCAAAUCCGGAUAAUCAAGGCUGAGGUGUGAUGACGAGGCACUACGGUGCUGAAGUAACAAAUGCCCUGCUUCCAGGAAAAGCCUCUAAGCAUCAGGUAACAUCAAAUCGUACCCCAAACCGACACAGGUGGUCAGGUAGAGAAUACCAAGGCGCUUGAGAGAACUCGGGUGAAGGAACUAGGCAAAAUGGUGCCGUAACUUCGGGAGAAGGCACGCUGGUGUGUAGGUGAAGCCCCUGCGGGUGGAGCUGAGACCAGUCGAAGAUACCAGCUGGCUGCAACUGUUUAUUAAAAACACAGCACUGUGCAAACACGAAAGUGGACGUAUACGGUGUGACGCCUGCCCGGUGCCGGAAGGUUAAUUGAUGGGGUUAUCCGUAAGGAGAAGCUCUUGAUCGAAGCCCCGGUAAACGGCGGCCGUAACUAUAACGGUCCUAAGGUAGCGAAAUUCCUUGUCGGGUAAGUUCCGACCUGCACGAAUGGCGUAAUGAUGGCCAGGCUGUCUCCACCCGAGACUCAGUGAAAUUGAACUCGCUGUGAAGAUGCAGUGUACCCGCGGCAAGACGGAAAGACCCCGUGAACCUUUACUAUAGCUUGACACUGAACAUUGAGCCUUGAUGUGUAGGAUAGGUGGGAGGCUUUGAAGCGUGGACGCCAGUCUGCGUGGAGCCAACCUUGAAAUACCACCCUUUAAUGUUUGAUGUUCUAACGUUGGCCCCUGACCGGGGUUGCGGACAGUGUCUGGUGGGUAGUUUGACUGGGGCGGUCUCCUCCCAAAGCGUAACGGAGGAGCACGAAGGUUAGCUAAUCCUGGUCGGACAUCAGGAGGUUAGUGCAAUGGCAUAAGCUAGCUUGACUGCGAGCGUGACGGCGCGAGCAGGUGCGAAAGCAGGUCAUAGUGAUCCGGUGGUUCUGAAUGGAAGGGCCAUCGCUCAACGGAUAAAAGGUACUCCGGGGAUAACAGGCUGAUACCGCCCAAGAGUUCAUAUCGACGGCGGUGUUUGGCACCUCGAUGUCGGCUCAUCACAUCCUGGGGCUGAAGUAGGUCCCAAGGGUAUGGCUGUUCGCCAUUUAAAGUGGUACGCGAGCUGGGUUUAGAACGUCGUGAGACAGUUCGGUCCCUAUCUGCCGUGGGCGCUGGAGAAUUGAGGGGGGCUGCUCCUAGUACGAGAGGACCGGAGUGGACGCAUCACUGGUGUUCGGGUUGUCAUGCCAAUGGCACUGCCCGGUAGCUAAAUGCGGAAGAGAUAAGUGCUGAAAGCAUCUAAGCACGAAACUUGCCCCGAGAUGAGUUCUCCCUGAGACUAUAAGUCUCCUGAAGGAACGUUAAAGACGAUGACGUUGAUAGGCCGGGUGUGUAAGCGCAGCGAUGCGUUGAGCUAACCGGUACUAAUGAACCGUGAGGCUUAACCUU